rnacentral:rRNA from 1 species
ACGGAGGAAAAGGAAACCAACAGGGAUUGCCCUAGUAACGGCGAGUGAAGCGGCAACAGCUCAAAUUUGAAAUCUGGCCUUCGGGUCCGAGUUGUAAUUUGUAGAGGAUGCUUUUGGCGCAGUGCCUUCCGAGUUCCCUGGAACGGGACGCCUUAGAGGGUGAGAGCCCCGUACGGUUGGACACUAAGCCUCUGUAAAGCUCCUUCAACGAGUCGAGUAGUUUGGGAAUGCUGCUCUAAAUGGGAGGUAAAUUUCUUCUAAAGCUAAAUACCGGCCAGAGACCGAUAGCGCACAAGUAGAGUGAUCGAAAGAUGAAAAGCACUUUGAAAAGAGGGUUAAAUAGCACGUGAAAUUGUUGAAAGGGAAGCGUUUGCGACCAGACCUUUUCGCGGCGGAUCAUCCGGUGUUCUCACCGGUGCACUUCGCCGUGUUUAGGCCAGCAUCGGUUUUCGUAGGGGGAUAAAAGCUUGGGGAAUGUAGCUCCCUCGGGAGUGUUAUAGCCCCUUGCAUAAUACCCUUAUGGGGACCGAGGACCGCGCUUUUGCAAGGAUGCUGGCAUAAUGGUCGUCAACGACCCGUCU